GCAUCCAUGCUGAUGACAAAACACUCGUUUUGAGAAGUGGACAUCACCUCUGACUGAAGUGAACGCCUGCAGUGACGGCAUCACUGUCGAUCUGACUCCACCUACACCGGGGACAGUGAACAUAGAGAAUCUCAUAGACGGGACAUUUCAGGUUAGCAAAACAGAAGUUGCAAUUAGCUGGACAACUUUUGUUGAUGACGAAGAGGAAGGUUUCUCUGCUCAUGCUGCUGGGAUUGCCUUUUAUGAAGUUGCAGUGGGUACUUUCCCUGGUGGACAAGAUCUUGUCAUUUACACCCGUGUUGGAUAUGUAAACAAGUACAUUCUACACAGGCUCAACCUGCAGACUGGAAGUACAUACUAUAUCUCAG